rnacentral:rRNA from 1 species
ACGCACGCUGGCGGCAUGCCUAACACAUGCAAGUCGAACGAGACCUUCGGGUCUAGUGGCGCACGGGUGCGUAACGCGUGGGAACCUGCCCUUAGGUUCGGAAUAACUCCCCGAAAGGGGUGCUAAUACCGGAUAAUGUCUUCGGACCAAAGGUUUAUCGCCUUUGGAUGGGCCCGCGUUGGAUUAGCUAGUUGGUAGGGUAAAAGCCUACCAAGGCGACGAUCCAUAGCUGGUCUGAGAGGAUGAUCAGCCACACUGGGACUGAGACACGGCCCAGACUCCUACGGGAGGCAGCAGUGGGGAAUAUUGGACAAUGGGCGAAAGCCUGAUCCAGCAAUGCCGCGUGAGUGAUGAAGGCCUUAGGGUUGUAAAGCUCUUUUACCCGGGAUGAUAAUGACAGUACCGGGAGAAUAAGCUCCGGCUAACUCCGUG